UUACCAGACUCCUACGGGAGGCAGCAGUGGGGAAUAUUGCACAAUGGGGGAAACCCUGAUGCAGCGACGCCGCGUGAAGGAAGAAGUAUUUCGGUAUGUAAACUUCUAUCAGCAGGGAAGAAAAUGACGGUACCUGAAGAAGAAGCCCCGGCUAACUACGUGCCAGCAGCCGCGGUAAUACGUAGGGGGCAAGCGUUAUCCGGAUUUACUGGGUGUAAAGGGGGCGCAGACGGCGAUGCAAGCCAGGAGUGAAAGCCCGGGGCCCAACCCCGGGACUGCUCUUGGAACUGCGUGGCUAGAGUGCAGGAGGGGCAGGCGGAAUUCCUGGUGUAGCGGUGAAAUGCGUAGAUAUCAGGAGGAACACCGGUGGCGAAGGCGGCCUGCUGGACUGCAACUGACGUUGAGGCCCGAAAGCGUGGGGAGCAAACAGGAUUAGAUACCCUUGUAGU
rnacentral:rRNA from 1 species